rnacentral:rRNA from 1 species
GGAUCCAGACUUUGAUUCUGGCUCAGGAUGAACGCUAGCUACAGGCUUAACACAUGCAAGUCGAGGGGCAGCAUUUUAGUUUGCUUGCAAACUGAAGAUGGCGACCGGCGCACGGGUGAGUAACACGUAUCCAACCUGCCGAUAACUCCGGAAUAGCCUUUCGAAAGAAAGAUUAAUACCGGAUAGUAUACGAAUAUCGCAUGAUAUUUUUAUUAAAGAAUUUCGGUUAUCGAUGGGGAUGCGUUCCAUUAGUUUGUUGGCGGGGUAACGGCCCACCAAGACUACGAUGGAUAGGGGUUCUGAGAGGAAGGUCCCCCACAUUGGAACUGAGACACGGUCCAAACUCCUACGGGAGGCAGCAGUGAGGAAUAUUGGUCAAUGGGCGAGAGCCUGAACCAGCCAAGUAGCGUGAAGGAUGAAGGCUCUAUGGGUCGUAAACUUCUUUUAUAUGGGAAUAAAGUUUUCCACGUGUGGAAUUUUGUAUGUACCAUAUGAAUAAGGAUCGGCUAACUCCGUGCCAGCAGCCGCGGUAAUACGGAGGAUCCGAGCGUUAUCCGGAUUUAUUGGGUUUAAAGGGAGCGUAGGUGGAUUGUUAAGUCAGUUGUGAAAGUUUGCGGCUCAACCGUAAAAUUGCAGUUGAAACUGGCAGUCUUGAGUACAGUAGAGGUGGGCGGAAUUCGUGGUGUAGCGGUGAAAUGCUUAGAUAUCACGAAGAACUCCGAUUGCGAAGGCAGCUCACUAGACUGUCACUGACACUGAUGCUCGAAAGUGUGGGUAUCAAACAGGAUUAGAUACCCUGGUAGUCCACACAGUAAACGAUGAAUACUCGCUGUUUGCGAUAUACAGUAAGCGGCCAAGCGAAAGCAUUAAGUAUUCCACCUGGGGAGUACGCCGGCAACGGUGCAACUCAAAGGAAUUGACGG